UAUUUUUAUUGAUUUUUUCCCUCAUUUUUGUUUAGUGUGCGAUUAAUAGCAAAAGUAGGCGAGACACUGCAUGGGUUCCGGGGAACCCUUACGAAUUUUCCAUAUUUUACUGAUAAAUUGACUUAGUUUUUUGCAAUUAACAUUUAUAUGAAGUCUCGGGUUAAAGUUUAUUAGUCUUCAAUAAUUGUGUCAAACCUUCAUGGAAUAUAAAUGUUACAGAUGCUUUUCUAUGAUUAAAAAACAAUAUUCAAGAGC
rnacentral:lncRNA from 1 species